UACGGAGGGUGCAAACGUUGCUCGGAAUCAUUGGGCGUAAAGCGCACGUAGGCGGUACAGCAAGUCGGAUGUGAAAGCCCUCGGCUCAACCGAGGAAGUGCAUUCGAAACUGCUGAACUUGAAUAUGGAAGAGGGUCGCGGAAUUCCCGGUGUAGAGGUGAAAUGCGUAGAUAUCGGGAGAACACCAGUGGCGAAGGCGAUCACCUGGG
rnacentral:rRNA from 1 species